GUGUGUGGUAGACAAUUUCAAGUGUGUGUGGUUGACUUCCCAGUGUGUGUGUGUGUUAGAAUAUUCCCAAUGUGUGUGGUAGAGUAUUUCCAGUGUGUGUGUGGCAGAGAUGGGGUAAUCGUAAUCUGUAAUCGUAAUUAGCUGUAAUCGAUUACAGUUUUUCAUGUAAUCGAAUGUAAUCUGUAAUCGUGUACUUUUUAGAUUACAUGUAAUUGUAAUCGAUUACAUUAAUUUUACCCUGUAAUCAUGAUUAUUUUUAGAUUACUUUUUUGAUUACUUUCAUUAAUUUUGUAUAUUUUUCAUGUUGUUUUUUUUUUUUAUUAUCAACAAGUUUUCU